rnacentral:rRNA from 1 species
CGCGCAGGCGGCGUCGUAAGUCGGUCCUAAAAGUGCGGGGCUUAACCCCGUGAGGGGACCGAAACUGCGAUGCUAGAGUAUCGGAGAGGAAAGCGGAAUUCCUAGUGUAGCGGUGAAAUGCGUAGAUAUUAGGAGGAACACCAGUGGCGAAAGCGGCUUUCUGGACGACAACUGACGCUGAGGCGCGAAAGCCAGGGGAGCAAACG